GGGUGGGNAGCAAACCAGGAUUAGAUCCCCUUGGUAGUCCACCNCCGGUAACCGAUGAGUACUAGCUGUCGGGGGUUACCCCCCNUCGGUGGCGCAGCUUAACGCAUUAAGUACUCCCGCNUGGAAAGUACGCUCGCAAAGAGUGAAACUCAAAGGAAUUGACGGGGACCCGCACAAGUAGCGGAGCAUGUGGUUUAAUUCGAAGCAACGCGAAGACCCUUACCUAAGCUUGACAUCCCUUUGACCUCUCCCUAAUCGGAGAUUUCCCUUCGGGGACAGAAGUGACAGGUGGUGCAUGGUUGUCGUCAGCUCGUGUCGUGAGAUGUUGGGUUAAGUCCCGCAACGAGCGCAACCCUUGCCUUUAGUUGCCAGCAUUAAGUUGGGCACUCUAGAGGGACUGCCAGGGAUAACCUGGAGGAAGGUGGGGAUGACGUCAAAUCAUCAUGCCCCUUAUGCUUAGGGCUACACACGUGCUACAAUGGGUGGUACAGAGGGCAGCCAAGUCGUGAGGCGGAGCUAAUCCCUUAAAGCCAUUCUCAGUUCGGAUUGUAGGCUGAAACUCGCCUACAUGAAGCUGGAGUUACUAGUAAUCGCAGAUCAGAAUGCUGCGGUGAAUGCGUUCCCGGGUCUUGUACACACCGCCCGUCACACCACGGGAGUUGGAGGCGCCCGAAGCCGGAUAGCUAACCUUUUGGAAGCGUCCGUAGAAGGUAAGCCAA
rnacentral:rRNA from 1 species